rnacentral:rRNA from 1 species
UGCCAGCCGCCGCGGUAAUACGGAGGGUGCAAGCGUUAUCCGGAAUCAUUGGGUUUAAAGGGUCCGCAGGCGGACGUAUAAGUCAGUGGUGAAAUCCUACCGCUCAACGGUAGAACUGCCUUUGAUACUGGCAAACUUGAGUUAUUGUGAAGUAGUUAGAAUGUGUAGUGUAGCGGUGAAAUGCAUGGAUAUUACACAGAAUACCGAUUGCGAAGGCAGGUUACUAACACUAUAUUGACGCUGAGGGACGAAAGCGUGGGGAGCGAACAGGAUUAGAUA